rnacentral:tRNA from 1 species
ACAUUAGUGGUUCGGUGGUAGAACUCUCACCUUCCAUGUGAGAGACCUGGGUUCAAUUCCUGCCCAAUGCA